CGGACGGGUGAGUAAUGUAUGGGGAUCUGCCUGAUGGCGGGGGAUAACUACUGGAAACGGUAGCUAAUACCGCAUAAUGUCUACGGACCAAAGCGGGGGACCUCCGGGCCUCGCGCCAUCAGAUGAACCCAUAUGGGAUUAGCUUGUAGGUGGGGUAACGGCUCACCUAGGCGACGAUCCCUAGCUGGUCUGAGAGGAUGACCAGCCACACUGGAACUGAGACACGGUCCAG
rnacentral:rRNA from 1 species